GCACUUGAAGCAACCUCCAUCAUUUCCUCGACACUUACCGAAAUGUCGUCUGCCACAUUGUGGACACUCCGGUCUAUUCGGUCGAGUACUACCCAUGCUUGCCACAGAAGUGGUUUGAGCUUUAGACGUCGUGUACUGUUGGUUCUUGUUUCUACUUGAGAACCCUACCGAUAUAUUUGAUCGGGUGGUAAACUCUCUUGAUCUCUUGGAUGAUGUCUG
rnacentral:lncRNA from 1 species